CUGCACAAGAGACUAGACUUCUAGGGAGAAGACCUCUGUCAAAGCACACUCACUGACAAAUGAAAGCACUGAGAUUACAAGGAAAUUUCUGGUCGUGGGAACCUUUAGACAAAGAUACACGAGCCUCCCCCUCCUGCCCUGGCAGUGACCCCAGCUCCAAUCACAGUCCUGCAGUGUGCAACCACUACUGGGGCAGCUCAUGACUCCUCUUGGCCAUGGACCUCAGAGCUCAUACAGGUGAAAUGUGAGAUGUAACUUUGCCUUGUGUGGCCCUAAUGAACAUAAGGUGGGCAAAGCUGCCGGAGCAUCCUCAUGCCAUGAUCUUUGAGGAGCAACAUCGCAGUGCAGUGCCCUGUCAUGGUGGGGCAUGGCAUUGAGAGCUGCUGGCCACCAGGAGGGAGACAAAGGGAAGGUGACCAUCUUUCCGAAAUGGAGCGUGUAGCAGCUGCCUGUGAUGCUGCCUUGCAAAAGUGGUGGGGAAGUAUUUACAUUAUUAAACAUUGUGAUGACAAGUGUCUUGGGAUCAUGCAAGGCUGUACUGCUAAGUAAGGCAACAAGCAAUGUAACUCCUGGCAUGUUUUGAAGUAACUAAAUGGAUCCAAUGACAAUUCAUUUUUUAAUAGAUGAAAGAGAAGCAGGCUUCAAAACAGAUAAUGAAUUUCUUCUAACUCGUCUGGAGACUGAAGAGCCAUAAUUCUGAUUGAUCAGAUAUGGUCUGCUUCAGAGAGGCACCAGAUGUGAUCCAGAUUUUAAAUAGAUGCUGCUACUGUCAAAAUGCAUUCGCUCCCUCCUGGUAUAACAAAGUGAAGUCCAUCUGUCUGGAGUUGUGCACUUUUUUUAGUGGUAAUAACAGUUAACAUCAACAAUAAGCUUUGUCUCAUUAGUAUCACAUAAUCCCUACUACCAAGUCCCCAGUUUCUGGUCCCCAUAUUAUCUGCCAUGGAAAAAAUAAAGACCACAGCAGGAGCUAAGAAGGUCAGUGCAUUCUCAGGGUAAUCAGCUGUAGUAAAUUCAAUUCUGACAAGACAAGGCUUGCAAAUGUCUGGGGAAUUAAGGGAUCAUCUAUAAUUUCAUAUGUUGAGUGGGAAAGUGUCCUUCCAAACAUUUAUUAAUUACAGAUGAGGCUGUGUAUGGUGAUCAUCCUUGGAGAGAUUUCUUCUGAAGCAGAGCAAGAAAAAUAGAUUUAACUGUUUGCUGCUACUUCUAAAGAAAAACUACUGAUCUUUGCACUCGGCCUUACAAUAGUUUCAGUCAGUAUUCUUUCUCUCCUGGUGUUUAUUGCUCUGUCUUAGCAACAAAUGCCUGUCACCUUUUAUGAAACUUUUUGCAUAAAGGUUUCCCACUGUAAUCAAUGGAGAAACUUGCCUUGGCUUUAGUCUGGCUUAGAGCCAUCUCUCCAGGGUUUGCAGUGCUUAAGAAGUAACGAGUAAAGAACAACAGACAAAAAAGUUUCACAUUUAGAACUGAACUUUUUACUUGAAGAUCUUGGAGCAUUUUACGAAAAUGAGUCCCCUUUGAGGUUUGUGUUGUCCUUUCUGUUUUAUAGAUGAGGAAAUUAAAGCAUAGCAAGGUCAAAAGCUAAUGCUUUCCAACUUGGGCAACUGAAGUAUUAGAUAUCUUGGUCUCCAUCCAGGACGCUUUUGGAAAGGAACUGAUCCCUGUAGUUCCUAUGCAACGAUGGGAUUUACUACUUAGGUCGAUGCGUAUCUUCGUGUUUCCAAGGGCCACCCCUGCUGAGGUUGCAUGAAAGGGGCCUUAGGCAUUUCAGCUGCUGCUGGGUAUGGCUGGGAUUUCAGUGUGGAGGCUGCAUUGCUGAGAUCAUGGAGGGAACAGGUAAGGCUGCAAUCCCUUUAUGCCUUUAGGAAGUCAAACAUGGGUGAACCUCUCUUGCUCCAACAUCCCCCUUCUACAGGACACACCAGGACCUGCACGGCAAACUGAACACAUACAAAGCUUCCAGUAUUUCUGUUUGAGUUAUCCUUACUGUGGGGCAGUGGUUGCUUUUGCUUUCUAUGUCAGAUGAUUUUGCCAGAGGAGAUACAUAUUUUGAAGUUUUAAACAUUUUUUAUUACAGCUUUACUUUUGGCAGUGUCAUGUUAACUCACUGCAGACUUUACAGAGGUGGCUUUGGGAAGUGUUGGUUCCUGUGUUAGCACGAAGGAGGAACAGAGCAAGGCAGACCUACAUCCUUUUAACUCUGCCACAGUGGAUCUACACAGGCAAAUACUCAUCCCUCCUGCAGAAGAAAACCAAGUAAGUCUUUAGCUGAUGCUGAGGUAUCCAGCAGACUUGAAAACUGGAGGGAAAAUUACUGUGGCUUUCACUCAAUGAUAGGGGUCAGAGACAUUUCUGUAACACCUUGUUCUCCUCUCUGUGGGUGUUCCCUUGUCCUUUGCUGGUGCACAUGGGCAUGGGAUUGAGGCCUACCACUUCCCAUCCUUUUCUGUCACAGCAUGUCAGCAACAUGGGACACGGAUGUUGCUGAUUUCGUCUGGCAUAUCCCUCAUAGAGAUUCAUAGAAACAUUAAGGUUGAAAAAGACUUUAAGAUCAUCAAGUCCAACUGUUAACCCAGCUGUGUUCACCACUAAACCUAAGUGUCCCUAAGUGCCACAUCCACACACCUUUUGAACACUUCCAGGGAUGGUGAUUUCACCACUCCUUGGGCAGCCUAUUCUAAUGCCUUACCACCCUUUCAGUGAAGAAAAUUUUCCUAAUAUUCAAUCUAAACUUCCCCUGGUGCAACUUGAGGCCAUUUGCUUUAGUCCUGUCACUUGUUACCUGGGAGAAGAGACUGACCCCUCACCUCACUAUAAGCUCUUUUCAGGUAGUUGUAGAGAAUGAUAAGUUCCUGAUGAGUCUCCUUUUCUCCAGGCCUAAAAACCCUCAGCUCCCUCAGCCACUCCUCACAAGACUUGUGUUUCAGACCCUUCCCCAUCUCUGUUGCCCUUCUCUGGACAUGCUCCAGCACCUCAAUGUCCUUCUUGCAGAGAGGGGCCCAAAACUGAACACAGGAUUUGGGGUGUAGUUUCACCAGUGCCAAGUAAUAAUGGAAGGAUUGGGAAUAACUUAAAUGCUGUGUUGUGAAUAAAGCCUUGCCAUUUGAGUGAGGUCCCACAUCUUGACAGGUUUUCUCAGCGCAGCCAGAGGUGAGGAGCUGCCCUCAUGGGCAGAAAGCACCUAAGCCAGGGGACACUGCUCACGUUAAAAGAUCCACCUCUACUCACUGCGGAUAGCCAGAGGGUAGGGUAAGAAUAGGAGAGUCCCAGAAGAAUAAUUUUAAAAAGGAGAAUGAGGUCACAUUACUGAGGAUGAGAUCAAGGAAUAAAAUAAGCAUGUAGGGCAGAAAGGUUGCCGUGCUAAAUGAAUUACAACCACUGAGGAGUGUUAGGAAACAAGGAGAAAGGUGCUAUAAAUACAGUAAAGUAAGAGAAAGACAGCAGCAGGCAUAAGCCCAUUACCUAAUGAGGAACAGGAGCAGCACAGAUGACCUAGUGAAGGCCAAUAUAUUUAAUGUCUUUUUCCUUCAGUUUUCUUCAGAAAAAAAAAAAAAAAGCACUUCAUUGUGAUGAAAAGCUGGCAAGACACAAGACAGCAAAGGAAAAUAACAGACAGGAUACACUGUGAUUAAACUGAAUAUAUUCACCAGAGGGUACAAAAGGAAGAGACUGGUGAGAAGUGGUGUUCCUCAGGGAUUGCUAUUGGGACUGGUGCUGUUUAACAUCUCUGUUGGUGACAUGAACAGGGGGGUUGAUGCACCCUCAGCAAGUUUUACCAGUGACACCCAGCUGUGUGGUGGGGUUGACAUGCUGGAGGGAUGAGAUGCCAUCCAGAGGGACCUGGACAGGCUUGAGAGCUGAGCUCAUGCAAACUUCAUAAAGUUCAACAAGGCCAAGUGCAAGGUCCUGCACCUGGAUUGGGGCAAUUACAAACAAAAAUACAAAUGGGGCAGAGAAUGGAUUGAGAACAACCCUGGAGAGAAGGAGUUGGGGGUGUCAGUGGAUGCGACCAGUGGGAUUUACAGAACAGCAAAUGUUGUCCCACUGAUCUUGUAUUUGUCUGUGAGAGGGUUAGUGGCUCUGAGAGGUAGAUAAUGCAGCUGUACAUCUCAGUGUGUACAGGUCUGGAUGUAGUAUGGCUUUUGAGUCUAUGCCAGUACUGAGAAAUGUUUGGCUGAAGUAGACCUAGGCAGGAAUCAAGGGCACCUGAGCUUAUCCAGUGGCUCUGUCACAGCUUCUCACUCGGCUUUGUAUAAACACAACAACCAUAUUGCUCUUUGUCAGAAAAGUGGAAUAAUUAUCACCCCAUAUUAUAUGGGGGAAACAAUGAGAUUUUGUCUGUUUUGAUGGUAAACAGUGUGGGUCUGCAAACAGGACCAUCACAGGACAUUUGGGUGCCCCCAAGUGCAAUUGGUAGGGACAGGAGUCCCCUCAUGCAAGUUGCUGGAAGCAUUCACGUGAAGGACCUUGUUGUGGGAUGCUCCCAGCCUGCUCCUGUGAGCUGUAUGGGGGAGGAGAGGGUUAGAGUAUAUCAGUUCAUCAUUGCCUUUAUGCAUGGUGUUUUGAAACACUGAAAAAGUAAAAGAAGUUUGGAAGUCGUGGGUGACUUGGUGCAAGGAUUUUGCUGGUAAGUUUGGGUAAGAUGAAAGAAGGGAGAGGGAGGCCUGUCAAGGCCUUUGAUGACAAAGGAAAAGGAAGCGUUUUUCAGUAUUCCUGCUUCCUAGUACCUCUUCCAUCAGUACCUGUCGAUCCCACCACUAGCCUUCUAUUUGCAGGUUAAAAAAAGUUCAAAACCGUUCUCGGAUUUUCAUUCCAAAGGCUGAGUAUUGUUCAGGGAUUAUGCAAGGGGAGCUACACAUCACAGAAAGACAAGAACCUGCACAUUCAAUCCCACGUAGGAUUAACGUGUACAUGACACCCUGUGCACGUGACAGCAUGUAUGAGUUUCACGUGUUGCAAAAGCUUUGUUGUAUGAUCAGAACCUGAUGUAUUCAGCCUAUGGGCUGGUGUUGCUCUUCUAUUUAUGUGGUCUAGGGAAAGGAAAAGAGAGAGGCAAACCUUCAGGGGCAGUGACCCUUUCUUUAUUCAAACCUGAACAGAAGGAGGGUCUUUACUUCCAAGAACUCAUUUUUUCUUUCUUGUUAUCACACAGUGAGGACUCUGAAAGAAUAGGUCCUUAGAGCUAACAAGGUUGAUCAUCAAGGAAACUUCUGUGCUUUCUGAAUCCCAGGGCUGUGGAAAAGAUUUAGUGCUUUUCUGAGCCAAACUUUGGAAGCAUAAGUUAUGAAUUUAAAGGCUGAUUUUAAAACUGGCUCUGCACAGACAUUUUCUGCUCUUCCACUAAACAACACAGCAUGGACCUCUGUAUGCCUUCAUCUCCUGAAGUGCCAAAUAAUGCCCACUAUUUCCCUUAUGAUUGCAGCAGAUGCCUUCCAUCAGUCAAUAGUGGGCCCAAGGUUAAUGUUUAACAUUGAAGGGGGGUAGAAAUACAAUGGCACUAAAUUAUGGUCAUUAUAAUGAUAGGUUAAAAGCAGUGUUGCUGCAGAGAGGUCCUGCUGGGAAUUCUCUGCUUGGGGGGUGUUAAGUAGAACAGCCUGCCAGAAAGAUCAGCAAGAAGAAGUAUAAAUAACUGCACACAGGAGAACAGGAUUUGCUUCAGAGGAAAAAGCAGUGUGAGGGUAGAGCUGGGCUUUGGAUAAUGUUAAUAUGAUGCUCUUAUGCCACUUGAGUUUUACACAUGUAACAUGGUGGUGAGAGCAAGUAAAAAACUGCUGGGAGAUCUGCUGGUCCCUGCUUUGCCAUCUCUGGGUAAGGUAGCUAUGCUGUGGCACUGACAGACUUUGUCCUGUCUUGAAAAGGUAGAGAAUGGUGCUAAAAACCAGAUAAAAAUACUCAUGUGACACUGUGUUCUAGUUAUCAAAUUCAGCUCUUCCAAAGUUUCUUUGCACAGUAACUACUUUCAUGAUGCUCUUGAACAUGUUUACCAAAAAAAGUGACUCCAGCAUGGUAGAGUUAUCUGUUUGGAUACCAAUGGAAAAGCUCCUAGGAGCCAAAAUAAACUUGAAAAGACUGUAGUUGAGAAUGGAUUUAAAUUAAUUUUCUUGAUUCCAGUGUUUCUGUUCCCAGCCUAAUUACUUGCUGCCUAGGUGUACCACUGCUAUGUGAAUAACAUAGCUGGGCUUUUUGUGUAUCUGAAAACAUCAACCUGAUCAUCUACCACCUUGUGCUCAGCUACAGGAAUGGAAAUCACAAAGGAAGCAGGUCCAUGGUCUCUGUCUGGAGCAACGGUGCUGUCAAAUGUGAGAGAUAGUGCGUGCAAAAUGCUUAAUGUAGUUGCAGAUGUUGUCGUAGACCCAGGAAAUAUGUCACUGACGUCCCUGGGGAGCCAACUGCAUAAAACUGAUGUGAGAAGAAAAUAA